UUCUUUACAGUUUUUGGCGUUACACAAAAACCCUAUAAUUGUCUUGAACUUUACUUGUUUAUACAUUUUUUUAAGGUUAAGCAUGAAACUUGAGAUUUUUUGCAUUAUUUAGUUUAAAUCUACCUCUUCUCAACCAUAUAUAGGAAGUACUAUUUACUACUUUAUAUACUAUUUUUAUGGCUUCACUUAUAUAUUUUACUUUUCAGAGUUUCAGAAAAAAAUUUAUAUUCAAACUUGCUGAAAUGAAAAAAAUUUUAAUAGAUAGAACUGCACUGUUCUCCAAUUAUCCAGAAGAAGGUUUUAAACAACGUAAAAGUUCAGAUAAACUUAAUGUUUUAAAUAAGAUAUUUGCAAAUGGAGAUAUCCAAUACAUCACUUUUGUAAAACAGUUGUAUUAAUUGGCGGUAAAAAUCUAACUGAUACAAUUAAAAAUAUUUCGCUCUUGUAAGUAAUUAGCAAAAGUUUAUGUUGAAUUUGAACAUUUAUAACAGUACAGCAUUUAUCUUCUUUUUUAUAUAUGUAGACUGUCAACAGACACUAUUUUGUCAGAAUACAGCAUGAAUUGUCUAAAGAAGAAAAAAAAGUUUAAAGAGUUGACAUGUCUAUGUUACGCUGUCACUGAAGCUGCUUUAAAGUCAAAUAAAAACUUAACCAAAAUGGAUGCCAUCCAACUUAUUGGGAGAGUAAUUAGGCAUUCUUCUGACCGAAUAAAGAGAACAUCGACUAAUAUGAAUUUUGAUCAAUAAUGGCUUAAUUAACUGUUGUAUUUUUUUUUUUUUUUUCCAUUUUUAAGCAAUUUUCUUCUAUUAAUAAUGCACUAUCGAUUAUAUUCUACAGUACCUAUUAUUUUUUAAUUUGAAAAAUGUAACUUUGUUUGAAAAA